rnacentral:rRNA from 1 species
CCUACGGGGUGCAGCAGUGAGGAAUAUUGGUCAAUGGGCGGAAGCCUGAACCAGCCAAGUAGCGUGCAGGAUGACGGCCCUACGGGUUGUAAACUUCUUUUAUACGGGAAUAACGCGCCUUACGUGUAGGGCUUUGCAUGUACCGUAUGAAUAAGGACCGGCUAAUUCCGUGCCAGCAGCCGCGGUAAUACGGAAGGUCCGGGCGUUAUCCGGAUUUAUUGGGUUUAAAGGGAGCGUAGGCCGGAUGUCAAGCGUGCUGUGAAAUGUCCGGGCUCAACCCGGGCCUUGCAGCGGAAACUGGCGUGCUAGAGUCGGCGGAAAGCAGGCGGAAUUCGUGGUGUAGCGGUGAAAUGCUUAGAUAUGGCGAAGAACCCCGAUUGCGAAGGCAGCUUGCUGCAGCGGAACUGACGCUGAUGCUCGAAAGCGCGGGUAUCGAACAGGAUUAGAUACCCUUGUAGUC